AUCGCUUCUCGGCCUUUUGGCUAAGAUCAAGUGUAGUUCUGUUCUUAUCAGUUUAAUAUCUGAUACGUCCUCUAUCCGAGGACAAUAUAUUAAAUGGAUUUUUGGAGCAGGGAGAUGCUCCGUCCACUCCACGCAUCGACCUGGUAUUGCAGUACUUCCAGGAACGGUGCACCCCCU
rnacentral:snRNA from 1 species